rnacentral:rRNA from 1 species
CGGGGGCAGCUUACACAUGCAAGUCGAGCGCACUCUUCGGAGUGAGCGGCGGACGGGUUAGUAACGCGUGGGAACGUGCCCUUCUCUAAGGAAUAGCCACUGGAAACGGUGAGUAAUACCUUAUACGCCCUUCGGGGGAAAGAUUUAUCGGAGAAGGAUCGGCCCGCGUUAGAUUAGAUAGUUGGUGGGGUAAUGGCCUACCAAGUCUACGAUCUAUAGCUGGUUUUAGAGGAUGAUCAGCAACACUGGGACUGAGACACGGCCCAGACUCCUACGGGAGGCAGCAGUGGGGAAUCUUGGACAAUGGGCGCAAGCCUGAUCCAGCCAUGCCGCGUGAGUGAUGAAGGCCUUAGGGUCGUAAAGCUCUUUCGCCAGAGAUGAUAAUGACAGUAUCUGGUAAAGAAACCCCGGCUAACUCCGUGCCAGCAGCCGCGGUAAUACGGAGGGGGUUAGCGUUGUUCGGAAUUACUGGGCGUAAAGCGCACGUAGGCGGAUCAGAAAGUAUAGGGUGAAAUCCCAGGGCUCAACCCUGGAACUGCCUUGUAAACUCCUGGUCUUGAGUUCGAGAGAGGUGAGUGGAAUUCCGAGUGUAGAGGUGAAAUUCGUAGAUAUUCGGAGGAACACCAGUGGCGAAGGCGGCUCACUGGCUCGAUACUGACGCUGAGGUGCGAAAGUGUGGGGAGCAAACAGGAUUAGAUACCCUGGUAGUC